AGCGAACGCUGGCGGCAGGCCUAACACAUGCAAGUCGAACGAAGUCUUCGGACUUAGUGGCGGACGGGCGAGUAACACGUGGGAACGUACCUUUUGGUUCGGAACAACUCAGGGAAACUUGAGCUAAUACCGGAUGAGCCCUUAGGGGGAAAGAUUUAUCGCCGAAAGAGCGGCCCGCGUUAGAUUAGCUAGUUGGUGAGGUAAAGGCUCACCAAGGCUACGAUCUAUAGCUGGUCUGAGAGGAUGAUCAGCCACACUGGGACUGAGACACGGCCCAGACUCCUACGGGAGGCAGCAGUGGGGAAUCUUGCGCAAUGGGCGAAAGCCUGACGCAGCCAUGCCGCAUGAAUGAUGAAGGUCUUAGGAUUGUAAAAUUCUUUUACCAGGGACGAUAAUGACGGUACCUGGAGAAAAAGCCCCGGCUAACUUCGUGCCAGCCGCCGCAGUAACAC
rnacentral:rRNA from 1 species